rnacentral:rRNA from 1 species
GUAGUAUUUUGACUAUACAAAGGUAUUGUAAUAAGGCUUUAAUUGAGUGCUAAAAGAAUGGAUUUUCAAAAAAAUUCUUUCUUAAAAUUAAAAAUUGAAAUUAUUUUUAUUUGUGAAGAAACAAUAAUAUUAAUUAAUGACAAGAAGACCCUACGAAUUUUUUAUAAAUUUAUAUUUAUAAUAUUAUAAAUAUAAAUUUAUUUAAUUGGGGCGAUUUAAAAAUAUGUAAAACUUUUUUUUAAAAAAAUGUGAACCAUUAUUAGUGAUAUCAUGAAAAAAAUACUCUAGGGAUAACAGCGUAAUAAUUUUAGAUAGAUCUUAUAGAAAAAAUAGUUUGCGACCUCGAUGUUGGAUUAGGAUUCUUAUUUAAUGAAGAAGUUAAAAGAAGAAGUUUGUUCAACUUUUGAAUUCCU